AUCACUGUUCAGGAAGGAGAGAAGAGAUCCUCUUCCCUCAACAUAGAAUGGUUGUUUCUUAAUCAGUUAGUUUCAGCGUUUGGACUGUGUGGUCUGUGUGUUCUGGUAUCUGCUGAGUCACCAGAAAUCUGCCAAGACACUGACACUUGCGCCUGCUCCAACAUCUGGCGCACAAGGGCUUUAAGGUUUCCAGAACCAAGCUGCAAUAUUGCAUGGACACUUAAACAAUGGAUCCCUGACUGCUCUUUUUAUGACAAGCUUCUCCGUUCUGCAAUCUCUCAUCACGAUCCACUGCAACAUCCUUUGACCUGGACUGACGCUAUGGUGGUCGCUUAUCACUCCCUCAAAAGCACCCUUUGUUCCGCCCCUGGGGUUACCUGAUCACUUCAAGCCCUUCCACCUCUAUGCCUGUGAACACCAAGGCACAGCUGUUGGCCCGGGAGCAUGAGGGGGAAUGCAUCAUUGUGUGUUUUUAUCCAAAACAUUCGACACUGUUGCUCAAGGUAGAGUCCUGCACUCAUCCUGUUUUAUUCCUGACACCAUGUUUUAUCAAGAACAUUAUUCUGGGUCGAUGAAGAAUUCUUUCUCAUGAACAGAUUGUUGAGAUGGAAAUGAAGUCGGUAGAUGAAUAUGUUUGAGAUCAGAGAUCCUGAGUCGCCUCAAUCAGUCAUUAGAUGUGUCUUUGAGAAGUAGGAGAACCAGGAGGAAACCCACACUGACACGGGUCAUUUUAACAUUGUUAACAGACUGAAAUGAAUCUCCUGAAAGGCAGAAGAAAGAAAUCUGCUAGUCGUAGUAAUUUAUCAAUAAUAUUCUGAGCUGCUUCAAAUCAAGCUUUUCAUCUAAACAACUCUAACUGCUUUGUGAACUGUGCAAAAACCUUUCGUUUACUGAAACAAAACAAAUCAAUCUUCACUAACAUUAAAAUGAGGCAGAGUACAGAACAGCUUGUAAUCCCUCAAAAUGGCAUCACGCUGUGGAUUGGUAUACGGGUGUCCCGGGUGUCUCAUGCUCACUGCAGGAGAUAAAGACAGAAGUGGGUAGUGAUGUGUUACAUUUACUCUGUUAUAUUUACUUGAAUAAUUUUUUUUUAAUUGUACUGCUGAGAGUAGUUGUUUUGCAGGAUAGUUUUUACUCCUGCUCAGUUACAUUUUGAUGAAAAAACAGUACUUUUACUUCAUUGCAUUCGGCUUUAUGCCAUCACUACUGUUACUUGUGUGUAAUUUAUUUUAAUUUGAUAAUUUUUCCACUCGGCCGUUCGAGCUAUCCCACAGUGAAUCUCCAUCCGAGACAGUUGGACAGCCGCCUUAGCAGCCGCACUGAAUGAAUGGAGGCGUGGCCCCGCUCUCUCCUACACCAGCACUGGAAAAUCAUGGCUGAAGAAGAAGCACCUGUGUGGCCGUCAGGGGUUCAUGUCCAUCCCUGGCCGAGCAUUAACACUCUGUUUGCCUUCCAAAUGAUGAGGAACAACAGUCAUUUUAUGCGCUGCCUACUUUUUCUACCAAAAACAGCGCCUCAUAUGUGAGGAAACAUGUG